AUUGAACGCUGGCGGCAGGCCUAACACAUGCAAGUCGAGCGGAGCGGCGGACGGGUGAGUAAUGCCUAGGAAUCUGCCUGGUAGUGGGGGAUAACGUCCGGAAACGGGCGCUAAUACCACAUACUAUCAGAUGAGCCUAGGUCGGAUUAGCUAGUUGGUGGGGUAAAGGCCUACCAAGGCGACGAUCCGUAACUGGUCUGAGAGGAUGAUCAGUCACACUGGAACUGAGACACGGUCCAGACUCCUACGGGAUGCAGCAGUGGGGAAUAUUGGACAAGGGGCGAAAGCCUGAUCCAGCCAUGCCGCGUGUGUGAAGAAGGUCUUCGGAUUGUAAAGUUCUUUCGGUAGCGAGGCGUUAACUACAGAAGAAGCACCGGCUAACUCCGUGCCAGCCGCCGCGGUAAUAC
rnacentral:rRNA from 1 species